rnacentral:tRNA from 1 species
AAGGGAGACCUAAUUCAGGUAGGAGACGAAAAAAAAGUAGUCCCAACCAAGAAUCAAUCCCAAAAGGUCGGAGCGAGGCGAAAUUGGCUUUCAAACUAGGUUCUGGGUUCACACAAGACCUGAAUCAGGAACAAGGGCUAUUAGCUCAGGUGGUUAGAGCGCACCCCUGAUAAGGGCGAGGUCCCUGGUUCGAGUCCAGGAUGGCCCACCUGCACAGGUGGCAAAAACAAGAGAAGCGAGGAAUCAGCACCUUAUCUUAUCUAUAUAUAUAUAGGAGAGAAUGCUGGCUCUGAGUAAAGAGUCCAGAGGAACCUUGAAAACUGCAUAGAGCUAGGUGAAAAAGCCAAAAAAGAAGACCGCAA